rnacentral:rRNA from 1 species
UAUUGCGCAAUGGGCGAAAGCCUGACGCAGCGACGCCGCGUGGGUGAUGAAGGCCUUCGGGUCGUAAAGCCCUGUCAAGAGGGACGAAACCUCGCCGACCUAAUACGUCGGCGACCUGACGGUACCUCUGAAGGAAGCACCGGCUAACUCCGUGCCAGCAGCCGCGGUAAUACGGAGGGUGCGAGCGUUGUUCGGAAUCACUGGGCGUAAAGCGCGUGUAGGCGGCCUCUUAAGUCUGGUGUGAAAGCCCGGGGCUCACCCCCGGAAGUGCAUUGGAUACUGGGAGGCUGGAGUACCGGAGAGGAGGGUGGAAUUCCUGGUGUAGCGGUGAAAUGCGUAGAUAUCAGGAGGAACACCGGUGGCGAAGGCGGCCCUCUGGACGGAUACUGACGCUGAGACGCGACAGCGUGGGGAGCAAACAGG